AUGCUUAGGGCUGUUUUGAAGAAUAAUAAGAAAAUGUGGGAGGAAUGCUUGCCUCAUAUUGAAUUUGCUUAUAAUCGUUCAUUGCAGUCUACUACUAAGAUGUGCCCUUUUGAAGUUGUGUAUGGUUUCCUACCUCGUGCACCUAUUGAUUUGUUGCCUCUUCCAUCUUCAAAGAAGGUUAAUUUUGAUGCUAAACAACGUGCUGAAUUGAUUUUAAAAAUGCAUGAGUUAACUAAGGAAAACAUUGAGCGUAUGAAUGCUAAAUAUAAACUUGCUGGAGAUAAGGGUAGAAAACAUGUUGUGUUUGCACCUGGAGAUCUUGUUUGGUUACAUUUGCGUAAGGAUAGAUUUCCUGAUUUGCGCAAAUCAAAGCUAAUGCCACGUGCUGAUGGUCCCUUUAAGGUGUUAGAGAAAAUAAAUGAUAAUGCAUAUAAACUUGAGCUGCCUGCAGAUUUUGGGGUUAGUCCCACUUUUAACAUUGCAGAUUUGAAGCCUUAUUUGGGUGAGGAAGAUGAGUUUCCGUCGAGGACGACUUCAUUUCAAGAAGGGGAGGAUGAUGAGGACAUCAAUACCAUUGUUACACCCACAGCCCCUACUGCUACAUAUACUGGACCAAUUACUAGAGCUCGAGCACGCCAACUAAAUUACCAGGUACUUUCGUUUCUUGGUAAUGAUUCUAAUGUUCAUGAGAAUAUGAUGCUGCCUAAAUUGGAUACAUUUGUUUUGCUUACAAAUGAAGGGCCUAGCUUGGAGAAGGAUGAACAUUGGAGCAAGAACAAGCAUGGAGAUGAUGGCAUGCGCAAGGGGAACAAGAACGGAGUUACAAGUGAUGAUUUCAGGACUUUGAAGCCACCAUAA
rnacentral:rRNA from 1 species